rnacentral:misc_RNA from 1 species
AUAGAGUAAAGGGGAGUCGCCGUUUACGGUGGCGUAGCCGGUUAACCCUGGCCUCCUGACCUCCACCCUUGAAUACAUUACCUUUGUUGCUUUGGCGGGCCGCCUCGGCCAGCGGCUUCGGCUGCUGAGUGCCCGCCAGAGGACCACAACUCUUGUUUUUAGUGAUGUCUGAGUACUAUAUAAUAGUUA